rnacentral:tRNA from 1 species
UCUAAUAUGGCAGAAUUUAUGCAAUGAAUUUAAGAUUCAUAUAUAAAGAUUACCAAUCUUUUUUUAGAA